rnacentral:rRNA from 1 species
UACGGAGGAUCCAAGCGUUAUCCGGAUUUAUUGGGUUUAAAGGGUGCGUAGGCGGCUUAUUAAGUCAGGGGUGAAAGACGGUGGCUCAACCAUCGCAGUGCCUUUGAUACUGAUGAGCUUGAAUACACUUGAGGUAGGCGGAAUGUGACAAGUAGCGGUGAAAUGCAUAGAUAUGUCACAGAACACCAAUUGCGAAGGCAGCUUACUAAGGUGCAAUUGACGCUGAGGCACGAAAGCGUGGGGAUCAAAACAGG